AGUAUAUUAAAAAUAAACUGCUCCAGUACUCAAUCAUCAGUAGUUGACUUUCCAAAUUCUUCAAAAAUCCCAAAAUGCAUCCUCUCAGGUGCCAUCUGAUCUUGUAAUUCUGUCGUCUCCUUUGGGUUAUCCGUGAUGUUCCACCUCUUCGAUCAACAAUGCUUCCUACACAAGAAACUUCAUUACUUGAAGGUGUUUGGUGUUUGACCACUGAAUUGUGGAGUAUUAGGAGUGUAUCUACCGGGCUCAGCUCCCUUACCUCUGAUGGAAAAAUUUCCAUUGUCGCAGGGUAAGGCUUGAGGUUGACCUCUUUGCUUUAUGGCUAAGUCUGAACACCGGUUUUCUUUCUUUUUGGUGAAAAUUUGUGUAUGUAAACAUAGCUUAGAUAAACUAGUUUAGCAGCUUUUAUGCCUGUGUAGAUCCAGCAUAUAUUUGUGAUUCUACUUCUGUAGCUUUGCUAUUUCCUUACUUUUUUUCUGUGCAUGUGACUCCUGGGAAUGUUUAUGCUUAUUAUGGAUGGAUUUUCCUUUUGCUUA